rnacentral:rRNA from 1 species
GAAUUCGAUUAACGCGAAGAACCUUACCCAGGCUUGAACAGCGAGUGACACACUCCGAAAGGAGUCUUCCGCAAGGACACUCGUAGAGGUGCUGCAUGGCUGUCGUCAGCUCGUGUCGUGAGAUGUUGGGUUAAGUCCCGCAACGAGCGCAACCCUUGUCUUCUGUUGCCAUCAGGUUAUGCUGGGCACUCUGAAGAGACUGCCGGUGAUAAACCGGAGGAAGGUGGGGAUGACGUCAAGUCAGCAUGGCCUUUAUGUCUGGGGCUACACACGUGCUACAAUGGCCGGUACAAACCGUCGCGAUACCGCAAGGUGGAGCUAAUCGGAGAAAGCCGGUCUCAGUUCGGAUAGCAGGCUGCAACUCGCCUGCUUGAAGUUGGAAUCGCUAGUAAUCGCGGAUCAGCACGCCGCGGUGAAUACGUUCCCGGGCCUUGUCACACCGAAUCACUA